rnacentral:rRNA from 1 species
UACGUAGGUGGCAAGCGUUGUCCGGAUUUACUGGGCGUAAAGAGCGCGCAGGCGGUCGUCCAAGUCGCGUGUGAAAGCCCCCGGCUCAACUGGGGAGGGUCACGCGAUACUGGGCGACUCGAAGGCAGGAGAGGGUAGUGGAAUUCCCGGUGUAGUGGUGAAAUGCGUAGAUAUCGGGAGGAACACCAGUGGCGAAGGCGACUACCUGGCCUGUUCUUGACGCUGAGGCGCGAAAGCUAGGGGAGCAAACGGG